GUUAGGAAUAUUGGACAAUGGGCGCAAGCCUGAUCCAGCCAUGCCGCGUGAGUGAUGAAGGCCUUCGGGUUGUAAAGCUCUUUAGUCCACGAAUAUAAUGACUGUAGUGGAAGAAUAAGCCCCGGCUAACUUCGUGCCAGCAGCCGCGGUAAUACGAAGGGGGCGAGCGUUAUUCGGAAUCACUGGGCGUAAAGCGUGCGUAGGCUGUUUUGUAAGUCAGAAGUGAAAGCCCAGGGCUUAACCCUGGAAUUGCUUUUGAAACUACAAGACUCGAAUUCGGGAGAGGAUAGCGGAAUUGUCAGUGUAGCAGUGAAAUGCGUAGAUAUUGACAGGAACACCAGUGGCGCAAGCGGCUAUCUGGACCGAUAUUGACGCUGAGGCACGAAAGCGUGGGGAGCAAACAGGAUUAGAUACCCUAGUAGUCC
rnacentral:rRNA from 1 species